UAACCUACAUACCAGAUAUUUACACAUGGCCAUUAUUUAACUACACUGUGGUCAUUCAAGCUAGCCAUGAACAUGGCUUUUUAUUUCUCACCAUCUAAAUAAUGAACAUUCAGUGACGUACAUAAUAAUACACUCCUCGUUUCAGUAAUAGCGUCCCUUCUGACUUCUGUAAUUGUGAUUGGCUCAGGCAGCUGUCGCUGUCUGUUUAUGCGACGCACGUGUGAAACUAACGUGUGCUGUUAAUCGAUAACCAAAGUACAGCGGGGCUCUCCACCCAGACGUCCAGAGCCAAAGUCUAGCCGCUAUACCCAUGUGAGGAUCGUAAUACACACGCACGCAUACACAAAGACACUCACACACACAGACACAGGGAGAGCGGGGAGGGUGAAUCACAUUGCUUUGACACGGUUCUGCUCCGCUCCGACAGCAAAAGAACACGGAGGAAGCGGCGAGCACGCACUGUGCGGACACACGGGAAACCUGAUAUUCCUGUUCCCAGAAGAGGACGAGAGGGGAGUGAACACAACACACACACACACACACACACACACUCAACAACAAGAAAAAGUACUGCCCUGUGUUGGAACGCAGAAUUAUUCCACACAUUCUGAUCGUCAUACACGUUCACUUGUUUUACUUGGACUCUACGUGCUUAAAAACACUCUCGAAACCUGGCUUUUGAAACGACCUGGAUUGUGAGAAAAGUGCUCUAAACAAUAAAUAAACUAUUAUCACAUUAUUACGGUUAUACAGAGCCACUUAUAAGUGAGGAAGAGAACGAUUCAGUCAGGUACCCAGAAGUAAGCACAUUUCCACUCCAGGAACCUUUCCAACACCUUAGGAUGUUCGACAAGAAAUUUAGGCAUGACUCCACCACAGGAAUAUUUCAGGAAGCAGGAAGUCUUUUAGGAAUUCAGGAACGUUAGGCACAUUUCCAUUGCAGCACUGUUUUCAGGAAACAAGACGAUUUUUGGGAGGGUUUUUUUUGCAGGAACUUUUUGCUGUCCACCGUGAAAACCUUUUUCCUUAAUGGAUGUUUUCCUGAAACUAACAAAUAGGUGCAUAUAUCCACCAGAGGAACCUUUUGAGGCCCUUAGAAUUUUUCAGGAACUCAGGAACUUUUGUCCUUUUGUCGAAUUUCAGGGACUUGAGAAUGUGUGUAUUUCCAACACAGAAACCUUUUCAAGGACUAAGGAAGCUUUUCAGGGACUCAAGAAUGUUUUUACCCCAGGAACCAAGAAUGUUGUUAGGAACCCAACAAUUUCAGGCACAGGAAACUUUCUCUUUUUUUUACAUUCUACAAAACCUUAGGCCUUUUAUGUCUCCACUACAUGAAUGUUAUCAUUUUAUCUUCAUUACAGGAACCUUUUCAGAAGCACAAUAUAUUUUUCAGGAACUCAAAAUAUGAGCAUUUCCUCCACAGGAACCUUUUGAAAACCCUAGGAUUUUUCAGUCAAUUUUGACACAGGAACCCUUUCAGUAACCAUGAAAGUUUUUUUUUGUUUUUUGUUUUUUGUUUUUUUACAAACUCAAUCCCAUAAAGUUUGUUUCUUUUCAGGAGCUGCGGAAGUUUUUCAGGACCUCAGAAACUUUUUGAAAAACUUUUCAGGAACCAAGAAAGAUCCUCAGACGUACACUACACACUUACUGUACACCACAGGAACCAUGGACAACUUUACAAACUCAGAAACUUUAGGCAUGUUUCCACCACAAAGAACCAAGAAUGUUUUCCAGGAACUCAGAAACUUAAGGCGGACAUUUCCCCCUUAAGAGACUUUUGUUUUACGGACACAUUUUUCAUAAUAUGAUGUUACUUCAUUAUUUCUUAUUACUCUACUGUAUUACUGUAUAUUUUUCUUAAGAUGAACAGCUGAUUACACAUGAGAUUCUUGACACGUCUGAUCCAGUCUGAGUUAUUCAACUUUCCAUCUAUCUUUCAGCAGAAGCCUCGACAAUGCCUCUACAAGUACCCUAACUUUGACCUCUCCAUUCAUCACUGCCACCAUCAUCCUCACUAUGGACUUUGCAACGAGUGUCUUUAAAUGACGCAAUACAAUUAAUCAUCCAUUACAGUUUUCAUCACCACUAUGAUGAACGGGUCUGAUCUCAGCUUUUGACAUCAUAGCUAUUCAUGAUAGUAACACCAUUACCAUCAGUGUGACAUACUCUACAUAUGAAAUGUCAACUAAAAACAGUGAUUCAGCUUCAUUAUUACAUUUCCCAGCCUCUCACAACAGAUCCGACGAGAAGCCUCAGGCUUCUUUGCCGUGUCGUGUUACACACUGCUGAUGUUUAAUCCGUACACACGCAGUGAACAGUGAGUCAACAGACCCUGUGACUCAGAGCUGAUUCACACUCUGUUCCCCCUUCCUCCAUCAUCCCUAAAUAUCAGGCACCCUACAUGCUUCUGACCUUCUUCCACCUCCAUACACAGCCAGAAGAGUAAACACUGUGCCUACUUUACUGUACUUUAUUCGCUGCUUGAGAGUCAUGAUGAGAUAAUGACAAAGUGCUUACUGUGUUAUUAUAUUACAUUAUAUCAUUCUCGUUCUACUUUCAACACUUAGCAUUUAGGCUUUGUCAGUACUGAAACUGAUACAGUAAAGCUCUACUGACUUGAGAACGAAUUGAAACUUAGGACAGAAAAGGGAAAGGACAGAGGAAGGAAUGUGAGGAAUCUGAAUCGUCCGUGCUGUAAACGCAUUCUGGCCGAAGAAUUCAAAGAGGCAGCCAAGAAGCAGAAGAAUGGGAGGCUUGGCGCUGUGUUUGACUGUGGUAGUGACCCAAUGCCAAAUGUGACCACCUUUUGGACAGCAUGUCAUAUGUGCCAUGUGCCAAGCGAGCUGUUGGCCCAAUUGAGUCAAUCUGCAGUCUGCCAGGCGCCGAAAACACGAGAAAGCAUAAAAGCCUCUCUUUAGCAGCAGGGAGUCGCUAACUGCCUGCGAGGCCUGCUGUCUUCCCCCAGAGUUCAGGCUUUGAAGAGUGCUGUGCAUCACUUAUUCCCUUUCAUGUCUGCACUAUCUUGGGAAGCCACUGCAAGGGAGAUUUCAAAGGGGAGGACCAGAGGAGGGCAAGACUCCAGAGACCGCUCUCGCCCUUCCACUAGGCCUGAAGGAGAAAUUCCAAAAACGCUCAGCAGCAACAGUACACAUACAGUAUGGUAGAGCAACAAUAGCUGAAUUUAGAACAGACAAAGAGUGUCAGCCAUUUUGUGGGCUUUAAGUGUGCAUUUUAAAACAGAGGAUAAUUACAGUUGAAGGAAAAAGUUGCACCCUGCAAAGUUUCUAGCUGGAAGGAAAAUUGAAUGAAGAAGCAAAAAUCUAAUUAAAUAAUUUUGAAAUGUAAUGUGGGUCUCAUGCAAUCAGGCAAAAUAUACAGAAAAGUAGCAUCCAUCCAUCUGCUAUACUGCUUAUCCUUCAGGGUCACAGGAAUCUUAGAGCCUAUACCAGGGACCAUCGGGCACAAGGUGGGGUACACCCUGGUCAGGGUGCCAAUCCAUCACAGGGCACAAUCACACACACCCAUUCAUACACUACGGACACUUUGGACAUGCCAAUCAGUCUACCACGCAUGUCUUUGGACUGGGGGAGGAAACCGGAGUACAUGGAGGAAACCCCCGCUGCACUGGGAGAACAUCCAAACUCCACACACAGGACAGCGGCUGGAAUCGAACCCCCAGCCCUGGAGGUGUGACGCGAACGUGCUAACCACGUUUAGAAAGGGUGAUGAAAACAUUUGAAGUGAUAUAUUUAUUUUCUCACAAUAUAUAAAAACAUAUGCUAUUUAACUAUUUUUGUUGUUAACUAUAAUGUAGGAACAUCUGUAAAGCCUAACAUUUUGCCCAGAACUUAUACAAACAUUUGCACUCAUCUAUGAGGUUAGUGUACAGACCUUUUAAAUGUAACAGGAAGCAGAGUUUUAUGCUCAUGAUCUGAGUUUAUGUUUUACAUUUGUGUCUUAACAUUUCUGGCCUCAUUUACAGAUUCACCUAGCAUGUAAAAAAUUAGAUUACGACGCCAAGUCUUACCAAGUCUCUUGCUGUGUCCCAAUUUACCUACUUAUACAAUACACUAAAAGUAUAUACUCCUUUUGUGAAGAAAAUGUAUCUACUUUUGAGUGUGUAGCAAAAGAGUAUGCAAGUACACGUCAUGAAAACGUUGUUGCCUAGUUACGCACACUGUCACCAUAAACAAACUCCUUGACAAACACUUGAGCGCCAUAUUUGCAAGCAAGGCAAAGCAAAACAUCACAAAACUCCUCCUUCCUCGUGAAAUAGGUUGUGGGGGAUUAUCUGAAAAACUGUCCAAGUUUUGAAAACCUACCAGAAAUAGUAGACCAUCCAGGUACCUUGGGGAUACUCGUUUCAACUAGGGCUGGACGAUAUAUCGAUAUAAUAUCAAUAUCGUGAUGAAUGAUUACGCGAUACACGUUUUUGAGAUAUCGUUGGUAUGGUGAUUCUUUUUAAACGUUUUUAAUAAUUACAAAUUAAAGGUACUGAUUGGAUGUCGUGGAUUUUAUGGGUUUUAAAGAAUUAAAGAAAAAUAUCGUCAAACUCGGUUUAUUUUACUACUGUUUUUCAGACUGUUUGUUAGAUAAAUUAUAUAUCGUGAUAUGCAUGGUGUAUCGUAGAAAUCAGUAUCAUUAUAUGAUAUUUUUGUUGUAUCACCCAGCCCUAGUUUCAACAUACUACAAUUUGGGACACACUAUUCUAAUCGUGGGUGCUAGGCGAACUGGGACACAGCGUCUGUCUUAGUAAACGUCUAGCAAAGAUUUAAUUGGAGAAUUGUCCAGGCAGGA